rnacentral:rRNA from 1 species
CGAGCGGCGGACGGGUGAGUAAUGCAUAGGAAACUGCCCAGUAGUGGGGGAUAGCCCGGGGAAACCCGGAUUAAUACCGCAUACGCCCUACGGGGGAAAGCAGGGGCUCUUCGGACCUUGCGCUAUUGGAUGUGCCUAUGUCGGAUUAGCUUGUUGGUAGGGUAACGGCCUACCAAGGCGACGAUCCGUAGCUGGUCUGAGAGGAUGAUCAGCCACAUCGGGACUGAGACACGGCCCGAACUCCUACGGGAGGCAGCAGUGGGGAAUAUUGGACAAUGGGGGCAACCCUGAUCCAGCCAUGCCGCGUGUGUGAAGAAGGCUUUCGGGUUGUAAAGCACUUUCAGUGAGGAGGAAGGCCUUAAGGUUAAUACCCUUGAGGAUUGACGUUACUCACAGAAGAAGCACCGGCUAACUCCGUGCCAGCAGCCGCGGUAAUACGGAGGGUGCAAGCGUUAAUCGGAAUUACUGGGCGUAAAGCGCGCGU